rnacentral:rRNA from 1 species
AGUGAACGCUGGCGGCAGGCCUAACACAUGCAAGUCGAACGGCAGCACAGUAAGAGCUUGCUCUUACGGGUGGCGAGUGGCGGACGGGUGAGGAAUACAUCGGAAUCUACUUUUUCGUGGGGGAUAACGUAGGGAAACUUACGCUAAUACCGCAUACGACCUACGGGUGAAAGCAGGGGAUCUUCGGACCUUGCGCGAUUGAAUGAGCCGAUGUCGGAUUAGCUAGUUGGCGGGGUAAAGGCCCACCAAGGCGACGAUCCGUAGCUGGUCUGAGAGGAUGAUCAGCCACACUGGAACUGAGACACGGUCCAGACUCCUACGGGAGGCAGCAGUGGGGAAUAUUGGACAAUGGGCGCAAGCCUGAUCCAGCCAUGCCGCGUGGGUGAAGAAGGCCUUCGGGUUGUAAAGCCCUUUUGUUGGGAAAGAAAAGCAGCAGGUUAAUACCCCGCUGUUCUGACGGUACCCAAAGAAUAAGCACCGGCUAACUUCGUG